rnacentral:rRNA from 1 species
UGGGGAAUUUUGCACAAUGGGCGCAAGCCUGAUGCAGCGACGCCGCGUGAGGGAUGAAGGCCUUCGGGUUGUAAACCUUUUUCGCUCAUGGUCAAGCCGCAGCUUUGGGUUGUGGUGAGGGUAGUGGGUAAAGAAGCGCCGGCUAACUACGUGCCAGCAGCCGCGGUAAUACGUAGGGCGCGAGCGUUGUCCGGAAUUAUUGGGCGUAAAGGGCCUGUAGGCGGUUGGCCGCGUCUGCCGUGAAAUCCUCUGGCUUAACUGGGGGCGUGCGGUGGGUACGGGUUGACUUGAGUGCGGUAGGGGAGACUGGAAUUCCUGGUGUAGCGGUGGAAUGCGCAGAUAUCAGGAGGAACACCGGUGGCGAAGGCGGGUCUCUGGGCCGUUACUGACGCUGAGGAGCGAAAGCGUGGGGAGCGAACAGG